UACAGGGGGUGCAAACGUUGCUCGGAAUUACUGGGCGUAAAGCGCGUGUAGGCGGUUGUUCAAGUCAGGUGUGAAAGCCUUGAGCUCAACUCAAGAAAUGCACUUGAUACUGGAUGACUAGAGGACCGGAGAGGAUAGUGGAAUUCCCAGUGUAGUGGUGAAAUACGUAGAGAUUGGGAAGAACACCAGUGGCGAAGGCGGCUAUCUGGACGGUUUCUGACGCUAAGACGCGAAAGCGUGGGGAGCAAACAGG
rnacentral:rRNA from 1 species